GCCGCCGCCUCAGGGAAGAGGAAGGAGGCGGCGGCUUGGCGUCCCGCCUCUCGCCUGGCUGGCUAUGGGGGGCCUGGACGCAGUGGCCUCCCGAAUCUCCCAGGAAUCCUAAUGUCGCCCGAGGAUGCUAGGAGGAACACUGAGCCGACCUCUCCGUUAGGCUGAAGAUUGCACAAACCAUGAUAAUGGCCAGCAUGGAUGGAGGGAGCGUGUGAGAUGUGCGGGGCAGUGUGCUACGUCUCAGCCAACUCUAGGAGGCCCUGUCUCAUUCUUCAGGAAGCAUGGUCAUGGCAAUACCUGGAGUCUCCACUGUAAGACCAGAGUGAUGGAGGCAGCAGAGCUCCUCAGCAGACCAGGAGUCUCCAGAGGCACUGCAGAAUGUCUAAGAAGCAACCUCAUUGUAUUCCCAAGACCUGGGAAUCCAGGUCUCACAAAUACGAUGAUACAAUCUAUAGCCAGGACAUCUCCUCAUGUGUAGGGUAAGCAACUAUCCCAGUCUUCCCAGGAUUGAGGGACUUCUCCAGAUGCUGCACUUCCAGUGCUAAAAAUGAGGAACUGAAAUGAAUUAGUCACCCAAGGAAUGCUGGCCCUGUGCUAUAUGAUCACAUUUACUCUUUAAAGCAAUGCUUUGAGGACCUGGCACUGGGCUCUGGACCACCCCUGCCCUUGGUCCAUCAAUGUUGCUCACACUAAAAACAGAAGCCAUGCUGGAAGACAAACAGAGCUGCUGACCUAAGCCCAAAGUCCAGAUUCUGACAGACAAAAGCAAAUUAAACUCAGAUGCAGUUCUCAACAGUCUGGAGAGGAAGCUGGAUGUGAGUGCUGACCCUGGAGCCACUGGCUCUGUGAAGUUUGGUUUGCUUUGGAGCUUGACCCAGCUGCACCCGGGCGUCACCUGCUUUUCACCGCAGCCCACCUGGAACAGCGGAAGUGUCUGUUUAUUCCGCAGUGAAAGCACUCUGUUACCAGUGCCGUCUACCUAGUGCGACUCCCCCGCUUUGGCUAUCUUGUCUCAUCCUAGAAUUCUCACUGUGUCCUAGAAAGCCCCAGUGUUAGAGGUGUGAGGAUCUUUAAAGACCAUCUAACCUGACCUCUGCAUUUUACACUUCAUAAGUCUGAGGUGAGUCACUGAGUCAUCUAUAUAUAAAUAUUUUAUUUCAACUAGCUGCAGGGUUGCUAAUAACUAACUCUGUUUGGUGGCAACACCAAUUUUUCAAAGAGAUGUUUCAUAAAGGACCCAUUAUAAUCGAGUACUAUCCAGGAUGGAGGGCAUCCAGCUGCCGGACUAAGGCUACUGAAACAGUUUGCUUUAUUGCUUUUAGGGUCCGUUUUAUUCAUGGAAAUGGAUGAAGUCACACCCCAAACUGAUGAAUGGUUAGUUUUGGUCUGUUGGGGAAUUAUUCUUCCAUAACAUCGGUAUGUGAAGUGGAUGGUAAACCAUUAUACCCAAGGCAAGUCUAAAAUGCGGUUUGAGUUUUUCACUGGCUCCUAGAGAUGCCAUCGAAUCAAGUUAACUUCAUGGCCAAAUUAAUAUGCUUAACAAAAUUGACCAAUAUUUUAGUAUAAUUAAGCAAUAAGAGAGAAACUAAGAGUAUCUCAGACACUUUAUUUUUCUUUCAUAGAAAGUUUCUAAGUUCAGUUAUCCCAAGUCUUAGGUUUAUAAAAUUGAAAAGCAACAUGAAAUAAAACCAAAGCAAAACAAAACACCAAAGAUGAGUUGACUCUCUUUAAAGGUCCUUAGAGCAACUUCACCAUGUGAGCCAUGCAGCCAAAUGUUUCUAAUGAAUUGUGGUAAACAGAGCUAAAGAAACUAAGCGUGUGUGUGGAUGGUAGUCUCUCAGAAAUCAAGUCAGAAACUGGUUGCCAAACCAUCAUCCUUCACCCACGCUGUUAGGUUUACUUGUCACUACUGUUACUGGGGAGGUAGCCCAGGGGCAACGUAACCUCUGGUUUUCUGAAAGAUGCCGCAUAGACUUCUUCUGUGACCAAUUUCCAUAAAGUUCGUUUAGCAGUUCAAACUUUAUUAAGACUCUUGACAAAAACAGCUGCUAGAAUUGCAAAGGAAUGUAAUAAAAAACAUAGAGUCAGAAACAACCGGAGUCUAUAAAAGCAAUAUCCAGAGUGGCCAAGCCCCCUUGGGGGUGCAAACUGAUCCCGGUCUCCAUCAGCGCCGCACGGACCCCCGUGGGACACCCGGGCUUGACUGAAGUGCAAAGGCUCGAGGCUCCUGCCAUCACCCGGCUGAUAACCUAGUUACGGUCCAGGCAGGAUGCCAAGUAAAGAAUAGCACAAGCAGGUGGGGCAUGGAGUUUUAAAGAGUGAAGAUGCACUGGAGCAAAUUCAUUUUAUGUUGCUUUUAUUAUGCAGUAAAGAAAAACCUCCAACACGUACUCAUUUACAAAAAAAAAAAAAUAAAUGUUCAGUUGAUUGUAGUUUCCAUAUUAGCACGAAGGGGCACAAAUUGGUGUUAGCCAGAGACUCUGAGAUGCAUUUGGAAAUCUUAGUGGAAAAUUUCAGGUUUGAAUAUAAAUACAUAGCAGGAAUUCGUGCUGACAAUCCACUAUUGUUAAGCUGCUCUGAUGUGGGGACUCUUUGAAAUACACUUCAUAUGUUAUUAGAAUGACCUCUAGACCGUUCAGGGAAAUAUAGGAACACAAUCACCGGUAUUGCUGUCCACAUAAAAAUGUAAUAUUCAGAAAAUGAAAAAUUAGAAAAUACAGUUUAUUUUUGUGGGUUUUGACUGAAAUCCCAAGUGAGGCAGUUUGAAGAAGCUGGCGUGAUAACGGAGGAAAUGGAAUCAAAAGUUAGUUCCCUCCCUUGGCCCUGCCUCUGCCCCUUCCAGCACACAAGCACAGAGUGAGGAGAGGACCCUCUCUGGAGACACUUGGAGUGCAAAAUCAAAUCUUCAAAGUAGGAUGUAGGAACAGGCAUUACCAGGAUUGGCCAGUGAAGAAUCAUUUUGGAGGAUCUUGGAUGAGUGGCCAUCUUAGUGUGAAAGCUGGGGAUACAACACCCUGUGUACCGUCUUCAGAGGAUGGGAUUCCAUUUGGGGAUAUAGAGAGGCAAUCAUUCAAGAUCUCCCAGCUGUACAGCUCUUGGCAGUACUUGUAUUUGCAACUUCCCCUGCCCCCUCAAUGUGAGUGUUGUCUCCUGGGUUGUCUAAUGUGGUGGUCCUACCAUUCACUCAUUCAUUCAUUCAACAAACAUGUGAGAGCUGAUUAUGUGUCAAUCACUGUGCUAAGCAAUGGGGAUGCAGAGAUGCACACACAGCCCCUGUCCUCAGGGACUUCAGAGAUCAAACAGAGAUAGACAAGGACAAUAUAAGUUCUAUGUCAAAGGUGGGAGCACAGAGGAAGAUCGACUAACUCAGAUUGCCAGGGUCUGGAAAGGGUUUGAAGGUGAGGUAGCAGUGGACUGAGACCCAGAAAUAAAGUCAAGUCAGUGGAUAAGGGAUGGAGGGUUUUUCAGGCUGAAGGACUCCUGGACAGCCAGAGCAUUUGGGGGGCACUGUGCCCGCUGAUGGAGGAGUGCUAGGUGGUGAGGCUGGAGCACGGGCAGGAGGAGGCUGUGGGGAGAGGCUGGGGAGGCCAGGGAGGCCUUGUGGGGUCCAGGGUGAGAUGGCAGCCUCCUUUUCAGGGGGCUCCUGGCUUCUCCCCAUUCAGCUCGCACUAUGUGAGGGGGACCAAAGUCUUGGACAGUGUCUGCUGUCCGCCUAGUUGCUUAAGUUUUAUAAGGAAGAGUGAAUGACUCAGUUGUCCAAAUUCACCGAGAGGGUCUCAAACUGGGUUCUAUAGACACUGGUCAAUGUCCACUGCAGAGGGGCUGAGAAGAUGCUGGAAGAGCCGUUUCCCUCACACACUGAAGACAUGAUCUAUGAAGACGUGAAAGCACAUGUUACAGCUAAAACCCAGUUCCGUUGGCAUCCGCAGGACGGCACAGGCCAAUCGCGGCUGACGCAAAUGGUGGGAGGUGCUCGUGCCUUUUUCAUGGUGAUCAGAAACAGCAGUGUUGCAGGUGAUGCCACUUCACUUAACACUGGGUGUGGGCGGAUUCAUCUGCUCUGAAAAUUACAUCUUUGGUGGACAUCAGCUUGGACUUCGGUUGUCUUUUCACUUUCUUGCUAAUGUCCUUGGAUGAUCCACAACUUUUCCAAAGCAG